UUUUUGCUUAAAUAAACAUAUAAAACUAGACCACAUGAUGGACAAAAAACUUAACAAAAAAAAAAACUAAAAUAUUAUAUAAUGAAUUAUAUUUUAAAUUUUAAUCAAACGAAUUAAUAGGAAGACUAUGCAUAAAUAUUAGUAUUUUUCACCUAAUACACAUACAGUAUAUAGUGUUUUGGAUAACAAUUAUAAUAGAG
rnacentral:lncRNA from 1 species